rnacentral:rRNA from 1 species
UACGGAGGGGGCGAGCGUUGUCCGGAAUCACUGGGCGUAAAGGGCGCGUAGGCGGCCUGAUAAGUAGGGGGUGAAAUCCUGCGGCUUAACCGCAGGGCUGCCUUCUAAACUGUCAGGCUGGAGCACAGUAGAGGCAGGUGGAAUUCCCGGUGUAGCGGUGGAAUGCGUAGAGAUCGGGAAGAACAUCAGUGGCGAAGGCGGUCUGCUGGGCCGUUGCUGACGCUGAGGCGCGACAGCGUGGGGGAGCAAACAGG